rfam:Strongylocentrotus purpuratus Contig46219_fixed, whole genome shotgun sequence.
GGCAUGUUGGCUCAGUCGAUAAAGCGUCUGCCUGUUGAACCGAAGAUCGUUGGUUUGAAUCCAACCCA